GAUGAAGAACGCAGCGAAAUGCGAUAAGUAGUGUGAAUUGCAGAAUUCAGUGAAUCAUCGAAUCUUUGAACGCACAUUGCGCCCCUUGGUAUUCCAUGGGGCAUGCCUGUUCGAGCGUCAUUUGUACCUUCAAGCUCUGCUUGGUGUUGGGUGUUUGUCUCGCCUCUGCGUGUAGACUCGCCUCAAAAUAAUUGGCAGCCGGCGUAUUGAUUUCGGAGCGCAGUACAUCUCGCGCUUUGCUCUCAUAACGACGACGUCCAAAAGUACAUUUUUACACUCUUGACCUCGGAUCAGGUAGGGAUACCCGCUGAACUUAAGCAUAUCAAUAAGCGGAGGA
rnacentral:misc_RNA from 1 species